rnacentral:lncRNA from 1 species
CCCUAAUUAUCUCAAGAUUCAUAUACUCCUUUACAACCAUGGUAUGUUAAGAGCUCACAUCAAUAUAAAGCGCAACGUAACAUUCAGCCAAUGCCAGAUGGACCAAUUUUCAAAUCCCAAGAGGUCGUGAUGGAGUAUCAAUUUUAUGGCCAACAGAAUGGAGACCUUUUAACAAAAACUAGAUGAUGGAAACAAUAGAAUAG